AGAGGUCAUGAUAAACGUUUGAUGUUUGUGAUCAACGAAGAUUAUGCCAUCUCCGUUUCUGUUCACCAUUAUUUGUAGGACAACAUAAUUCUUAGCGUGUCUACAUGGAAUGCACGACGUGACUUCCUCGUAGUCAAGAUUAUGGCUACCAAUAGGGAAGUAGGCGAAUCGAUGCAACGCAGGGGAAAUACAGAUUGCACUUAAUGAGAGUCAUGCGCUCUGGACCAAUGGCAAAGCGGAAUGCUUCUUUCAUUGACAAUAAGUGGAACAUCAGGAUCGAGGUCAAGAGAUACGGACUCUCGGAGCAUAGCGACACAUGCAACAUUCCUUCGAGGCAGGCCCGGAGCGUGCAAUAAAAAUGUUUAACAAUUUACUGUCGCACCGCAACUAUGGAUCCUGAGGCCACGCUAAAAUUCUCCAUCUGAUUCCCUAGUAAUUUAUUCUCUCUAUGUGGAUAAAAAUCCUAUUCACCCAUACACAUAACCUGAUAUAUUGGGUUGGCAACUAAGUAAUUGCCGAUUUCAGUUAUAGAUGUC